rnacentral:rRNA from 1 species
UACGUAGGGGGCAAGCGUUGUCCGGAAUCAUUGGGCGUAAAGGGCGCGUAGGCGGCCUGAUAAGUAGGGGGUGAAAUCCUGCGGCUUAACCGCAGGGCUGCCUUCUAAACUGUCAGGCUAGAGCACAGUAGAGGCAGGUGGAAUUCCCGGUGUAGCGGUGGAAUGCGUAGAGAUCGGGAAGAACAUCAGUGGCGAAGGCGGCCUGCUGGGCUGUUGCUGACGCUGAGGCGCGACAGCGUGGGGAGCAAACAGG